rnacentral:sRNA from 1 species
GAGGAUGAGAACCUCCGGGGGCGGGAGGUUCGACCCGAGCGAAGCGAGAGAACGUUGCGCGAGCCACGGCCCGCAGGGCGAGCCAUCCUC